rnacentral:snoRNA from 1 species
AGACCAUGAUAAGGACAACGCCGAAGUAGUUCUUUAUAUCUUUUUCAAGCUUCAUACAAUAAUUCAGAAUCUAGCUGCAUGAAUGAUGUAAUGUCAUUCCUCAGUUU